AGCAGCCGCGGUAAUUCCAGCUCCAAUAGCGUAUAUUAAAGUUGUUGCAGUUAAAAAGCUCGUAGUUGAAUUUCGGGAUCAAUAUAUCGGUCGUGCCUUGGUACGUACUGGUAUCAUUGGUUUCUCCUUUCUGACGAACCAUGAUGUCAUUAAUUUGGUGUUAUGGGAAGUUAGGACUGUUACUUUGAAAAAAUUAGAGUGUUUAAAGCAGGCUAACGCCUGAAUACAUUAGCAUGGAAUAAUGAAAUAGGACGUUCGAUCCUAUUUUGUUGGUUUCUAGGAUUGACGUAAUGAUUAAUAGGGAUAGUUGGGGGCAUUAGUAUUCAAUUGUCAGAGGUGAAAUUCUUGGAUUUAUUGAAGACUAACUACUGCGAAAGCAUUUGCCAAGGAUGUUUUCAUUAAUCAAGAACGAAAGUUAGGGGAUCGAAGACGAUCAGAUACCGUCGUAGUCUUAACCAUAAACUAUGCCGACUAGGGAUCGGAUGAUGUUAAUUUUUUAAUGACUCAUUCGGCGCCUUACGGGAAACCAAAGUGUUU
rnacentral:rRNA from 1 species